AGGCCUGGCUUCUGUCCUGCGCGAGCAGAUCAGCGCGAACCUGGAAGCGGAGAGCGUGGAGUGAAGGUCCCACGGCAGCGCGGACAUACGUGACAUUUGGUGAGAUGUGGGACAGGAGGACUCCUUCAGGAGACUGAUCCCCUGUCCUGAUCUCCAUGAGGAGCUCCAGCUACGACCUCAGGUCCUCAGACCAACCAGCCCAAGGAACGUCUCACCAAUUUCAAAUUGGCCUGUUUGGUGGUCUCUUCACACGGACACGCAUGAAAUUUGGUGCCAUGACUCAGAUUGGGGGACCUCCCUUGGGAGAUCAAUCGCUGUCCUCCUGCUCUUUGCUCCAUGAGGAAGAUCCACCUACGACCUCAGGUCCUCAGACUGACCAGCCCAAGAAACAUCUCACCAAUUUCAAAUCCGACAGGAAUAUCAGGCCUCUGAGCCCAAGCUAAGCCAUCAUAUCCCCUGUGACCUGCACAUACACAUCCAGAUGGCCUGUUCCUGCCUUAACUGAUGACAUCGUCUUGUGAAAUUCCUUCUCCUGGCUCAUCCUGGCUCAAAAGCUCCCCUACUGGGCACCUUGUGGCCCCCACCCCUGCCCACCAGAGAACAACCCCCCUUUUUCCUUUACCUACCCAAAUCCUAUAAAACGGCCCCACCCCAUCUCCCUUCGCUGACUCUCUUUUCAGACUCAGCCCACCUGCACCCAGGUGAAAUAAACAGCUUUAUUGCUCA
rnacentral:lncRNA from 1 species